AUCCACUGGGAGUCCUUUUGCGUUUCAGAUGCUCCCAGGCUCUCCCGCAGUUUAAAGACUUAACUCAGCGGCUUUCAGGGCCUGUGGUUGAGGGACUCCGAAAGAACUGUUGCUGGUGGACCGGUUCAGGGUCUUGACUUCGCCACACAAAAGAACUUGAGAGCACGUCCAAAGUAAAGCUAAGACCUCUAGUACAGUGUUCAAUGGAACUGGUGAGAAAAGACGUCCUUGCUGUGUUCCUGAUAUGAAGAGGAAAGCAGUCCUUCUCCAUUAAAUGCUGACAACAUGAGCCUCCCGUGGUCGGAACGGGCUUGUGAAGGCGGUGCUGGGGUGCACCAGGGCAGCAGCUACAGAAUGCACCAGCUGGAGUCGACAUUAAAGGGCCCCAUUUCCCAUUUGCUGCAGAAGAUGUUUAAUUGGAAGUCUCUCCCUGUCCUUUUGACCGUCUGCUUUUGCAUGUGAUUUGACUAUGCGCUGAGGACCUAGCGUGGUAUAUCAGCAAAGUGGAAAAGUGACUGAAGUGACUGUUUAUCAUCUUGUACCAAGUUACACCACUUUAAGCUUUAACUCCACAGCUCUUGCAUUAUUUUAAAACCGUCUGGCAGAUCUCUAAAACUAAUGGUACAAACCACUCUGUGAUACAUUAAAAUACAUCCCACUCUGUCAUACUGCAAACAAGUAGCUGCUCCCCAGUCUUUGAAAAAGUACUUUCAAGAUAAAAUAUGUACUCAUGGGUUCUGCAGGUUUUUAAAAAGUCUUGAAUCUUCACAGAUUUACUGGGGGGGAAGGGGCGUUUCAUGUAAAAUGUGUUUUUCCUUGACAUUUAGAGGUCUUGCAAAGUGGUUUAUUAUAGAUCUUGUGGACAUCUCGCUAUUUAAUUAAAUUUCAGAAAUAUAUUCUCUGCACUCAUAA
rnacentral:lncRNA from 1 species